AUUGAACGCUGGCGGAAUGCUUUACACAUGCAAGUCGAACGGCAGCACGGACUUCGGUCUGGUGGCGAGUGGCGAACGGGUGAGUAAUGUAUCGGAACGUGCCCAGUCGUGGGGGAUAACGUAGUGAAAAUUACGCUAAUACCGCAUACGAUCUAUGGAUGAAAGCGGGGGAUCGCAAGACCUCGCGCGAUUGGAGCGGCCGAUAUCAGAUUAGGUAGUUGGUGGGGUAAAGGCCCACCAAGCCAACGAUCUGUAGCUGGUCUGAGAGGACGACCAGCCACACUGGAACUGAGACAGGGUCCAGACUCCAACGGGAGGCAGCAGUGGGGAAUUGUGGACAAUGGGCGAAAGCCUGAUGCAGCCAUUCCGCGUGCAGAAUGAAGGCCCUCGGGUUGUAAACUGCUUUUGUACAGAACGAAAAGGUUUCUACUAAUACUAGGAGCUCAUGACGGUACCUGCAGAAUAAGCACCGGCUAACUACGUGCCAGCCGCCGCCGUAA
rnacentral:rRNA from 1 species